rnacentral:rRNA from 1 species
UACGUAGGGGGCAAGCGUUGUCCGGAAUCAUUGGGCGUAAAGAGCGUGUAGGCGGCCCGAUAAGUCCGCUGUGAAAGUCCAGGGCUCAACCCUGGAAUGCCGGUGGAUACUGUCGGGCUCGAAUCCGGAAGAGGUGAGUGGAAUUCCUGGUGUAGCGGUGGAAUGCGCAGAUAUCAGGAGGAACACCAACGGCGAAGGCAGCUCGCUAGGACGGUACUGACGCUGAGGCGCGAAAGCGUGGGGAGCGAACAGG